GGGUAUGAGGGCGAUCCAGCUGUGACAUCUGUCACCCCAUUGACCACCAGGGUUGACUCGGCUGAUCUGGCUGGCUAAGCAGGUGUCCCCUUCCUCCCUCACCGCUCCAUGUGCAUCCCUCCCGAAGCUGCAUGCUCGGUCGAAGAGGAUAACCAUCUCCAAUACAGGAGGUCCGUUCUCUGGUCAAGGGUAUAUGAGUAGCUGCGCUCCCCUGCUAGAAGCUCCAAACAAGCUCUCAAGGUCCAGGUUUCACUGUCUUUUUUUUGGGGGGGAGGACUGAUAUUUGAACUCAGGGCUUUGUACUUGCAAGGCGCUCUAUCACU
rnacentral:snRNA from 1 species